rnacentral:rRNA from 1 species
UACGUAGGGUGCAAGCGUUAAUCGGAAUUACUGGGCGUAAAGCGUGCGCAGGCGGUGCUGUAAGACAGGCGUGAAAUCCCCGGGCUUAACCUGGGAAUGGCGCUUGUGACUGCAGUGCUGGAGUGCGGCAGAGGGGGAUGGAAUUCCGCGUGUAGCAGUGGAAUGCGUAGAUAUGCGGAGGAACACCGAUGGCGAAGGCAAUCCCCUGGGCCUGCAUUGACUCUCAUGCACGAAAGCGUGGGGAGCAAACAGG